CCUACGGGUGGCUGCAGUGGGGAAUAUUGGACAAUGGGGGAAACCCUGAUCCAGCGACGCCGCGUGGGUGAAGAAGGCCUGCGGGUUGUAAAGCCCUUUCGGUGGGGAAGAAAAGCCUCGACCUAACACGUCGGGGUAUUGACGUAACCCACAAAAGAAGCACCGGCUAACUCUGUGCCAGCAGCCGCGGUAAUACAGAGGGUGCGAGCGUUAAUCGGAAUUACUGGGCGUAAAGCGCGGGUAGGCGGCCAAUCCCCGGGCUCAACCUGGGAACUGCAUUCGAGACUGUAUGGCUUGAGUAUGGGAGAGGGAGGCGGAAUUUCAGGUGUAGCGGUGAAAUGCGUAGAUAUCUGAAGGAACAUCAGUGGCGAAAGCGGCCUCCUGGACCAAUACUGACGCUCAUGUGCGAAAGCGUGGGGAGCAAACAGGAUUAGAUACCCCGGUAGUC
rnacentral:rRNA from 1 species